AUUGAACGCUGGCGGCAGGCCUAACACAUGCAAGUCGAGCGGAGCGGCGGACGGGUGAGUAAUGCCUAGGUAUCUGCCUUGUAGUGGGGGAUAACGUCCGGACACGGGCGCUGAUACCGCAUCCUAUCAGAUGAGCCUCGGCCGGAUUAGCUAGUUGGUGGGGUAAAGGCCUAACAAGGCGACGAUCCGUAACUGGUCUGAGAGGAUGAUCAGUCACACUGGAACUGAGACACGGUCCAGACUCCUACGGGAGGCAGCAGUGGGGAAUAUUGGACAAUGGGCGAAAGCCUGAUCCAGCCAUGCCGCGUGUGUGAAGAAGGUCUUCGGAUUGUAAAGCACUUUAAGUUGGGAGGCGUUACCAACAGAAUAAGCACCGGCUAACUACGUGCCAGCAGCCGCGGUAAUUC
rnacentral:rRNA from 1 species